rnacentral:rRNA from 1 species
GACGAACGCUGGCGGCGUGCCUAAUACGUGCAAGUAGAACGCUGAAGGAGGAGCUUGCUUCUCUGGAUGAGUUGCGAACGGGUGAGUAACGCGUAGGUAACCUGCCUGGUAGCGGGGGAUAACUAUUGGAAACGAUAGCUAAUACCGCAUAAUAGUAGAUGUCGCAUGACAUUUGCUUAAAAGGUGCAAUUGCAUCACUACCAGAUGGACCUGCGUUGUAUUAGCUAGUUGGUGAGGUAACGGCUCACCAAGGCAACGAUACAUAGCCGACCUGAGAGGGUGAUCGGCCACACUGGGACUGAGACACGGCCCAGACUCCUACGGGAGGCAGCAGUAGGGAAUCUUCGGCAAUGGACGGAAGUCUGACCGAGCAACGCCGCGUGAGUGAAGAAGGUUUUCGGAUCGUAAAGCUCUGUUGUAAGAGAAGAACGAGUGUGAGAGUGGAAAGUUCACACUGUGACGGUAUCUUACCAGAAAGGGACGGCUAACUACGUG